GUGGGAAGCGGCUGAGGAGGACUGAAAAUCCUUGUGUCGCUGGUUCGAUUCCAGUUCUGGCCA
rnacentral:tRNA from 1 species